AGGUGACCUUUGAGCUGGUUUUUUAAAUGGACUGACAUUCUGAAUGGCAUUAGCAAGGCCCAGAAGUAAUGAAUGGUUGAUUACUUGACUGCAAUCAAAAGUGGCUGAAGUGGAGGAGUGAGCAGAGGCCACAAAUGUGAGCCAGAUCAAGGAAUGCCCAACCAAGCAGCUUGGGGGGGGAGAGGCAUUGGGGACAGGGACAGAAAAGUAAUGAUGGUUCCUCUCCCCUCCAGAUAGAACAUAGGAGAGAUGGUGAACUUCCCUCCUUGGCAGUAUCUCCCCCUCCUGGGUGGUAUUACAGGCGUUCACAGCAUCUCCAACUUGGAAAUAGGAUCAGGAUGCUGCUCCAACAUUCUUUCAUGUGAAGGUCAGCCCACCCCCCAGUCGGGAACUGGUGGGAGCUACAGCCUGAAAGGACAGUGGGAGGAGGAAGGAAGACACACUAUAUUCAUCUACUCCAACAAGCAUCACGGGCGAAGCGAAAGCAAUGGAGAUGACUGGUCUGUGGGGACGGAGGGGUGGCACUCUCACAGGGAUGGCCGUGGCAGACACUGCUGAAGCCCAGAGCCACUACAACACUGCGACUUCAUGGCACACACAGAUUUAUGAACGAACACUAGCAAUAAGAAUUUAGAAUUCUUAAAUGCCUAGUUCAACAGGGCAGAGAUCUAAGCUGCAACACAAUCUGCAUCUGGGCAGGAGAAGAGGGAGAGACGAUGAAGAGUCUCCUCAGAGAGCUGGACUCGGACCGCCGUCUUCUCCGGCAACCCCGACUGCUGUUCGUGGAAAAGACAAUUAUCUGAGGACACAGCCAACAGCUAAGCUGCAAAAUGUAACGAAGAAAUUACUACUGGAUAGUGCCAUAAAGGUUCAAAUAGAAGUGUGUCCUUUGAUCUGAAAGCCACAUAAAUUGGGCUGGAGAAAUAACAGACUUGGUCCUACUUCUACGGUUUGGCUACCCCGUCUGAAAAAUAGGACUCCAGUUUUUACUAAUGCAGUGGUUCCCAAGAAGAAAUAAAGCUGACAUGAGGGGUAUACAGAAGAACAUCAUUAUUUUUAGAUACACAGUAUUUAGGCAUGAAAUGUGUGAUGCUUCAGCAAGUGGAUCAGAAACAGGUCUGUAUAAAAUAUAUACGUGCACGUACAUGCCUCACUUAUAUAAAGAUAACCCAAUAUGGCAAAAUGUUAAUUACUGAACCUAGGAGAUACACACAAGUUCAUUUUACUCUUCUUUCAACUAUUCUGUUUGAAACCGCAAUAACAAGUUGAGAAGACUACGCCAUGACUUUAGUCCAUGCUGUGCCACACCUCUGCAACUCGUAAGUACAGACACCAAGCCUCCCAAUCCUGACCGAAAGGGACACUCCAUACACAGCUCUUCACCAGGGCCAGGCCAGCUGGCACUGAUCUUGGGCUGUGCCUGCUUGGUGAGAUGGUGUACACUUAAAUGCAAUGUGACUAAGGGAUAGAUGGGUCUGGGCUCUGAAGCAGGGCAGACCUAGGCUUAAUUCUAACUAUCAAUUCUUAGCUAAGUGAUCCUGGGAUUCUCCCAUUCCUCACCUACGAAAAUGUAAAAACCUACUUUUCAGAGAUAUUAGAAUAGGAAAAUCAAAUCGUACAUGUUUCCUAAAAUUUACAUUUUCCUCUUAAAAGCAUUUCCCUAAUAAAUUCA